GCCAAUAUCGCAUAUCACACAUAGGCAAAGUUGAAAAUUAAAUUAUAAUUAAUUUAAAUACAAAUAAUUAAGCCACAGUAAAUAAAAUACAUCAGUAUAAUUAUAUGUAAUAUUGUAGAUUAUUCCUGAAUAUUUUCAGCCUCAGGUCUAAAAAAUAAAAAAAUAUAUAUCUAACUGUGUCUGUAACAUUUAAUAUACUGGCUAAAAUACAAAACCAUACUCAUCGUCAUGUAUUUUAAAUUUCGUCUUUUAAAUUAUUAAUGGUAUUUCAGUUUUUUUCGGGCUUCAUGGAUGGCGUGAGAGCCGGUGUUUCCGUGUCCGCGCAGGGGCAGCUGUUCCUCCUCCCGCCUGCCGGUGAAUAGCAGCUUCCUGCCGGCUGCUGCCGCUGCUGCAGCCGCUGUCAGCAGCUCCGUGCCCCCCUCACGUCCCGCCCGGCGACGAGCGCGACAGGCGGGUCGGACAAAAUACAUUCUCACGGUGGACCCGCCAUGUUUACCCUGCCGCUGCCUGAGCAGGCAGCUCGGGUCUCUCGCAGUUCAACACAGUUGGCUCUCAACUGCCAACAUUAAGAGCAUUGUUUCCCCCUCUGUAUGUUGCACAAACGUAUCUUUACCUUUAAAAAAAACCGACAUGAUCUCACAUCUGUUCUAAAGCAGCGUAAAACCCGUGAAGUUAAUCACUACCCGCUCAGUUCUCCAACCCUUGUCGUGUUUUCCAUAUGAUGAGGCCAUCACACAGGGAUCUGCCGCCGUGCACCGCGCUGCUGCUGCUGCUGCUGCUGCUGGUUUGUUUAGAACUGAGCCUCGUCUCAGUCAGUCCACAUGCUAAAGCCUCAAUCAGAGGCAGAAGUCUGGAUCAAAGUGAGCUAACAGCACUACCACUCUCAGGGGCUGGCCAUCUGUGUUGGGUCCAGGAGGAAUGAAUGUGCGAUGGGGGUGUGAAGCCCAAGUGAAGUUGUUACACCAGCAAAUAUAACGUUUUUUCCUAUCAGCACAUUUGGGCUACAGUCCGUGGGAAAUACAGUCGUUGAAGCUCAAGGCCGGCUCGGUUGCUGGGGCAGGGUUCCUGAAUGGCAGCUAUAGUAUUGUUGUGAUUAUGAGUGUGGCAUUGUCGUGGAAGACAUUUUGUGACUCUGCACUAAGAGACGAUGUUUAAUGCUUGUUUUUUUUGUUGUUGUUGUUUUUUUUUUUCAUUUUGUGACAUGGUGUGAUAGUCAGCUUACACAGCCUCUCGUAUUUCUGAAGGCCGUCUGCACAUUCAGGAACCUACUACGUCCUUCAGAACCUCUAUAGGCCUGUAAUAUACUGCAAGCCUCUUUAUCCUGCAGACUACACUCUCCUUCAGGCUCGCACAGAGCCAUAAUAGGACCUGUGCCACAACAUACUUAGUGAAAGGAAAAUAUUAUAUAUACAGUAACGUGAAUUUUUCCUAAAACUGAAUAAAUGAACUGCUCGCAGAGGAAAAUAAGAAGUAAGACCACUGUUUGAAG